UACGUAGGGGGCUAGCGUUGUCCGGAUUUAUUGGGCGUAAAGCGCGUGUAGGCGGCCAGGUAGGUCCGCUGUGAAAACCCGAGGCUCAACCUCGGGACGUCGGCGGAAACCAUUUGGCUAGAGUCCGGAAGAGGAGAGUGGAAUUCCCCGGUGUAGCGGUGAAAUGCGCAGAUAUCGGGAAGAACACCCGUGGCGAAGGCGGCUCUCUGGGACGGUACUGACGCUGAGACGCGAAAGCG
rnacentral:rRNA from 1 species